UACGGAGGAUCCGAGCGUUAUCCGGAUUUAUUGGGUUUAAAGGGUGCGCAGGCGGGAGAUUAAGUCGGCGGUGAAAUUUUGCAGCUCAACUGUAAAAGUGCCUUCGAAACUGGUUUCCUUGAGUGUAGAUGAAGUAGGCGGAAUUUGUGGUGUAGCGGUGAAAUGCAUAGAUAUCACGAGGAACUCCGAUUGCGCAGGCAGCUUACUAAACCAUAACUGACGCUCAGGCACGAGGGCGUGGGGAUCAAACAGGAUUAGAUACCCGCGUAGU
rnacentral:rRNA from 1 species